GAGUUUGAUCGUGGCUCAGAUUGAACGCUGGCGGCAUGCCUUACACAUGCAAGUCGAACGGCAGCAUGAUCUAGCUUGCUAGAUUGAUGGCGAGUGGCGAACGGGUGAGUAAUACAUCGGAACGUGCCCUGUAGUGGGGAUAACUAGUCGAAGAUUAGCUAAUACCGCAUACGACCUGAGGGUGAAAGUGGGGGACCGGCAAGGACCUCAUGCUAUAGGAGCGGCCGAUGUCUGAUUAGCUAGUUGGU
rnacentral:rRNA from 1 species